GAGAUCGCUUCGCAACACAUAUACUAAAGUCGGAAGGAUACAGAGAAGAUUACCAUGGCCCCUGCGCAAGGAUGACCUGAAAAAACACACCAAAAAACU
ensembl:snRNA U6 U6 spliceosomal RNA